UGCAGUCGAGCGGACAGAAGGGAGCUUGCUCCCGGAUGUUAGCGGCGGACGGGUGAGUAACACGUGGGUAACCUGCCUGUAAGACUGGGAUAACUCCGGGAAACCGGAGCUAAUACCGGAUAGUUCCUUGAACCGCAUGGUUCAAGGAUGAAAGACGGUUUCGGCUGUCACUUACAGAUGGACCCGCGGCGCAUUAGCUAGUUGGUGAGGUAACGGCUCACCAAGGCGACGAUGCGUAGCCGACCUGAGAGGGUGAUCGGCCACACUGGGACUGAGACACGGCCCAGACUCCUACGGGAGGCAGCAGUAGGGAAUCUUCCGCAAUGGACGAAAGUCUGACGGAGCAACGCCGCGUGAGUGAUGAAGGUUUUCGGAUCGUAAAGCUCUGUUGUUAGGGAAGAACAAGUGCAAGAGUAACUGCUUGCACCUUGACGGUACCUAACCAGAAAGCCACGGCUAACUACGUGCCAGCAGCCGCGGUAAUACGUAGGUGGCAAGCGUUGUCCGGAAUUAUUGGGCGUAAAGGGCUCGCAGGCGGUUUCUUAAGUCUGAUGUGAAAGCCCCCGGCUCAACCGGGGAGGGUCAUUGGAAACUGGGAAACUUGAGUGCAGAAGAGGAGAGUGGAAUUCCACGUGUAGCGGUGAAAUGCGUAGAGAUGUGGAGGAACACCAGUGGCGAAGGCGACUCUCUGGUCUGUAACUGACGCUGAGGAGCGAAAGCGUGGGGAGCGAACAGGAUUAGAUACCCUGGUAGUCCACGCCGUAAACGAUGAGUGCUAAGUGUUAAGGGGGUUUCCGCCCCUUAGUGCUGCAGCUAACGCAUUAAGCACUCCGCCUGGGGAGUACGGUCGCAAGACUGAAACUCAAAGGAAUUGACGGGGGCCCGCACAAGCGGUGGAGCCAGGUGGUUUAAUUCGAAGCAACGCGAAGAACCUUACCAGGUCUUGACAUCCUCUGACAACCCUAGAAGAUAGGGCUUUCCCUUCGGGGACAGAGUGACAGGUGGUGCAUGGUUGUCGUCAGCUCCUGUCCU
rnacentral:rRNA from 2 species